CCAAAGUUGACAUCCUAUGUUCAGGCCUAGCCUGUUACAAUGGAUGUCUGUGUGGCAGAUGGGAGCUGAGAGCCCCUUGGGUGUGAUGUAUAUUCCUUUUCCACAUCGUUGGAGAACAAACAAGUCCCCCAUUGUUUGUUGGGUGUGGGCUGGCUCCUGCAUAUUCCAUAGACACUGGCAGUGACAUGGGAGACAAAACAUGCACGGGACAUUU